rnacentral:rRNA from 1 species
AAUGAACGUUGGCGGCAUGGAUUAGGCAUGCAAGUCGCACGAGAACCCAAAUAGCUUGCUACGAGGGGGACAGUGGCGAAAGGGAGAGUAACGCGUGGUUACUUGCCCUCGAGACCGGGAUAGCGUCGGGAAACUGGCAGUAAUACCGGAUAACAUCUACGGAUCAAAUGGUGUGAUUCCGCUCGAGGAUAGGACCGCGUACUAUUAGCUUGUUGGUGAGGUAACGGCUCACCAAGGCUGCGAUGGUUACCGGGUGUGAGAGCAUGGCCCGGCUCACUGGGACUGAGACACUGCCCAGACAUCUACGGAUGGCUGCAGUCGAGAAUCUUCGGCAAUGGACGAAAGUCUGACCGAGCGAUGCCGCGUGCGGGAUGAAGGCCCUCGGGUUGUAAACCGCUGUCAGUUGGAAGGAAAUCCAUGGUGGUCAUCCAUCAUGGUUGACCGAUCUUCAGAGGAAGGACGGGCUAAGUUCGUGCCAGCCG